ACAAACUUGGUCAUUUAGAGGAAGUAAAAGUCGUAACAAGGUUUCCGUAGGUGAACCUGCGGAAGGAUCAUUACCGAGUGAGGGCCCUCCGGGUCCAACCUCCCACCCGUGUCUAUCGUACCUUGUUGCUUCGGCGGGCCCGCGCCCGUCGGAGACACCAUUGAACGCUGUCUGAAGAUUUGCAGUCUGAGCGAAUAGCGAAAUUAGUUAAAACUUUCAACAACGGAUCUCUUGGUUCCGGCAUCGAUGAAGAACGCAGC
rnacentral:misc_RNA from 1 species